rnacentral:tRNA from 3 species
GCGGACAUAGCUCAGGGGGAGAGCGCCACGUUGACAUCGUGGAGGCCGAUGGUUCGAUCCCAUCUGUCCGCACCA